GGAGCUUCAACCUGGCACGAGGGACGCUGCCGGCAUGCAGGUCCCUACGGAAGCUGAGGCUGCACUUCCUGCGAGGCCCCUAUAGCAGCAGCGCCUUGGUCAGAGCGAGCUUCGGAGAAGCGGUGGUGGGUUCCAUGUGAUGGUGGAGUAGGAGGCAGCUCUCCGCGCUACUUUGAAACAUAUGAUACACUUGUGUUAAGGCUAGUCACCCUGCUGUGGAAUAGAAGACCAGAAUUGGUCACUCUCAUCUGAGAGUAACUUUGUACCCCAUCACUGAUUCCUUCUGAGACCACCUUCACUUCCCCAGCAGCCUCUGGCUUAUUCUUCGGACCUCGUGUUCUUCAGGUUUCUUCACGUGGCUGCAGAUGGCAGGAUUUCCCAAAGGUUUAUGGCUGAAACAUAUUCCGUGGUGUAUCUGUACAGCAGUUUCCUCAUCCCUGCAGCUGUGUUUGAACAGGUCAUUUACCAUGCUGUCCUCCGGGUUCAACAGUAUGGCUCCAAAUGAUGAAAUUUCAUUUUGAUUUUCUGGCUGAAGACUAUUCUGUUUGUGUGCGUCCCCCACAGUUACUUUAUCCCUUCACAUCUGUGGAUGGGCAGAGUCUCGCUCUGUUGCCCAGGCUGGAGUGCAGUGGCACGAUCUCAGCUCUAUGCAAGCUCUGCUUCCUGGGUUCAUGCUAUUCUCCUGCCUCAGCCUCCUGAGUAGCUGGGAUUACAGGCACCACCACCAUGUCCGGCUAAUUUUCUGUAUUUUUCGUAGAGACGGGGUUUCACCGUGUUAGCCAGGAUGGUCUCGAUCUCCUGACCUCGUGAUCUGCCGGCCUCGGCCUCCCAAAGUGCUGGGAUUACAGGCGAGAGCCACCAUGCCCGACUGUAUACUAAUUAACAUUCUUACCAAACGAGUUCUUCUCUGGAAAUUUCCACCAGCAUUUGUGUCUCUUUUAAUAUAUUUUAUCAGUUUGAUAACAUCCAUUUGAAUUAUAGUGAGAUGAUAUGUGUGUUGUAUUGAUUUAUAUCUUUCUCAUGGUUUGUGAUGUUAUUCAAGUUUUAAAACUUGUUUUCAAUGUUAUGUCUUUUUUGUAGAAAUGUCUAUUCAGGUUUUGUUUGGUUAUUAGUUUCUCUUUUGUGUUUUUGCUAGUAAGUAGUGUUAGUUGCUUAGACAUUUUGAAAACAGCCUUUUAUCAGAUGUAUGUUUGUCAAAACGUUUCUUGUACAAUGAAACAUAGAUGGAAAUGUUCUGUGCAAUAAAAACAGCAGUGGUAACAGAGGA